rnacentral:lncRNA from 1 species
UUACACAUUGUUAUUAUUAAUACUAUUAUCAUUAUUAUUAUUAUUAUUAUUGUUAUUAUUAUUUUCCUGUCUUAAUAAACUGUCUUUAUCUCAACUCACAGGCUUCACUUUCCUGUUUCUCUCCCCCAUCCCAGAGAGGGAGGGGGGAGUGUGAGCGAACGGCUGUGUGGUAUUUAGCUGCCAGCCGGGUUAAACCACAACAAGUAUUUUGGCCAAAAUAUGGAUCUGGUGAAAAUUCAGGCUUUAAAUUUAUAUGUAAACAAUAAGAUUCCUUUUUUGGAGAAGGAGCCAAGUUAUUCUCCCUAUAAUCCUAGUAUUGCACCGGUGGCAGCAGCAGUCGCUCCAGGAAGGGAGACAGGGACUGUAAUUAACACUGUCCCUAGAGAAGGCAUGGACUCUAGGCUCUGGCAAGAAUUAGAACAAGGUAGAAGAGGUUCAAACAGCACCAAGAAAGGAUAUAGGAAUUUCACCAUAUGAGAUGCUGUUCAGAUUGCCCUAUCUGGGCAGAAGGGAUGAGAUACCACAAUUCGAAACAAGAGAGUUUUCUUAAGAACUGUAUUCUGGGGUUGUCCUCUUCUUUGUCAUCUCUCAGGACCCAUGGGCUGCUGGCUCAAACCCCACCUUUGGAAUUCCCCAUUCACCACCAUCACCCAGGAAAUUGGGUCCUGAUUCUGACUUGGAAAGAAUCAGCUCUGGCCUGAAUGGGAAGGACCAUUACUAACCACUGAAACAGCUGUAAGAACUGCGGAAAAAGGUUGGACUCACUAUACUCAAGUGAAGGCACCCGUUGACCCUAGUACCUGGGAAGUUGUUCCUACAGAAGACUUGUUGGAACUUGAAAUCAAAUAGAAAAAUCUCAUAGUGGACUCUGAGCGGGAUAAAAGCUUACAAUUGUAAACUAACCUUUUACUUUCACAGGUAACUAAUGUGUGUGGCUUGUGAGUGAGAGAAAGGAAUGGCCUAUAGCGAAUCGAAGUGCUCCCAAGGGGUUUUUGUUCUAGCAGUACAUAUAUCUUAUUCUUUGUAUCGAUAAUUAUUUGGAAACCUAAGGGUUAAAAAUAAUGACAGGGAAAAAUCAACUAUUAAUUUUGUUUCUAGUGAUUGUAGGCCUCAGAGAAGGCCUUGGUCAAUUGGCAACUUGGAAAAGACAUGACCAGAUAAUAGUAAGAGGAGAUACCCCAUCAAAAUACGGGUGACUGUGACAGAGGGUUAUGUACCACAAUCCGUCAUGUUUGAUGCUUGUGAGGUGUUAGCUUGGGGAGAUUUAAAUAUCCAGCGACAACUGAGCAGAGAGAACAAAUAACUGGGAGAGACCCAACAGCCAGAUUGAGAAUAGCUGUAUGGAAACAAUCCUCUAUUGCCAUCAGAGAAAGGGAGAAACUCAAGGAGAAAACAGGAGAGAAAACAGGAGACCCUCUUUGAAAUGAGGCAGUUCAAACUUUUGAGAUUGAAACAGGGUAUGGGGAUGUGAAUGCCU